rnacentral:rRNA from 1 species
CAGCCGCCGCGGUAAUACGAAGGGUGCAAGCGUUACUCGGAAUUACUGGGCGUAAAGCGUGCGUAGGUGGUGGUUUAAGUCCGUUGUGAAAGCCCUGGGCUCAACCUGGGAAUUGCAGUGGAUACUGGGUCACUAGAGCGUGGUAGAGGAUAGUGGAAUUUCCGGUGUAGCAGUGAAAUGCGUAGAGAUCGGAAGGAACAUCUGUGGCGAAGGCGACUAUCUGGACAACACUGACGCUGAGGCACGAAAGCGUGGGGAGCAAACAGGAUUAGAUACCCGAGUAGUCCCUGUCUCUUAUACA